rnacentral:rRNA from 1 species
GACGAACGCUGGCGGCGUGCCUAAUACAUGCAAGUAGGACGCAGUUGCGAACGGGUGAGUAACGCGUAGGUAACUGCCUAUUAGAGGGGGAUAACUAUUGGAAACGAUAGCUAAUACCGCAUACUAGUAGAUGGACCUGCGUUGUAUUAGGUAGUAGGUAGGGUAAUGGCCUACCUAGGCAACGAUACAUAGCCGACCUGAUGGGGUGACCGGCCACACUGGGACUUGGACCCGGCCCAGAAUCCUACGGGAGGCAGCAGUAGGGAAUCUUCGGCAAUGGGGUGAACCCUGACCGAGCAACGCCGCGUGAGUGAAGAAGGGUUUCGGAUCGUAAAGCUCUGUUGUUAAGGAAGCGGUACUUAACCAGAAAGGGACGGCUAACUACGUGCCAGCAGCCGCGGUAAUUC